rnacentral:rRNA from 2 species
AAAUUGAAGAGUUUGAUCAUGGCUCAGAUUGAACGCUGGCGGCAGGCCUAACACAUGCAAGUCGAACGGUAACAGGAAGCGCUUGCUGCUUCGCUGACGAGUGGCGGACGGGUGAGUAAUGUCUGGGAAACUGCCUGAUGGAGGGGGAUAACUACUGGAAACGGUAGCUAAUACCGCAUAACGUCGCAAGACCAAAGAGGGGGACCUUCGGGCCUCUUGCCAUCGGAUGUGCCCAGAUGGGAUUAGCUUGUUGGUGGGGUAACGGCUCA